GGAGCGGCGGACGGGUUAGUAACGCGUGGGAACGUACCCAGAUCUAAGGAAUAGCCACUGGAAACGGUGAGUAAUACCUUAUACGCCCUUCGGGGGAAAGAUUUAUCGGAUUUGGAUCGGCCCGCGUUAGAUUAGAUAGUUGGUGGGGUAAUGGCCUACCAAGUCUACGAUCUAUAGCUGGUUUUAGAGGAUGAUCAGCAACACUGGGACUGAGACACGGCCCAGACUCCUACGGGAGGCAGCAGUGGGGAAUCUUGGACAAUGGGCGCAAGCCUGAUCCAGCCAUGCCGCGUGAGUGAUGAAGGCCUUAGGGUCGUAAAGCUCUUUCGCCAGAGAUGAUAAUGACAGUAUCUGGUAAAGAAACCCCGGCUAACUCCGUGCCAGCAGCCGCGGUAAUACGGAGGGUGCAAGCGUUGUUCGAAAUCAUUGGGCGUAAAGCGCACGCAGGUGGCCAUUUAAGU
rnacentral:rRNA from 1 species